rnacentral:lncRNA from 1 species
AUAAAUAAAGUGUCUCGUUGUAAGGUAGGCCAAGAGAAAGCCUUGUGUGUGCAUUGUUUCCUAAGCUAACAAGUGAAUAAGAGAAUUACAAAGCAUAUCUCCCUGAGGUAGUGCCAUGAACUCUCUCUUGUAAUGAAAGAUUACAAGUCCAUAAUGCUCCAAAGUUGCAUAGGUCAAUCACAAAAGUCCAAGAUCCAAGCAAGGGUACAAACAAG